rnacentral:rRNA from 1 species
CCUACGGGCGGCAGCAGUGAGGAAUAUUGGUCAAUGGCCGUAAGGCUGAACCAGCCAAGUAGCGUGAAGGAAGAAGGAUCUAUGGUUUGUAAACUUCUUUUAUAGGGGAAUAAAGGUAUCCACGUGUGGAUAUUUGCAUGUACCCUAUGAAUAAGCAUCGGCUAACUCCGUGCCAGCAGCCGCGGUAAUACGGAGGAUGCGAGCGUUAUCCGGAUUUAUUGGGUUUAAAGGGUGCGUAGGUUGUUUUUCAAGUCAGCGGUGAAAGUUUGUGGCUCAACCAUAAAAUUGCCGUUGAAACUGGCAGACUUGAGUGUGUUUGAGGUAGGCGGAAUGCGUGGUGUAGCGGUGAAAUGCAUAGAUAUCACGCAGAACUCCGAUUGCGAAGGCAGCUUACUAAGCCAUAACUGACACUGAAGCACGAAAGCGUGGGGAUCAAACAGGAUUAGAUACCCGAGUAGUC